AACGAACGCUGGCGGCGUGCUUAACACAUGCAAGUCGAACGCGAAAGGGACUUCGGUCCUGAGUAAAGUGGCGCACGGGUGAGUAACGCGUAGAUAACCUGUCCUUGUGUUCGGGAUAAUAUGCCGAAAGGUGUACUAAUACCGGAUACUCUUGCUUUUCACAAGUUAUGCAAGCAAAGGUGGCCUCUGAUAUAAGCUACUGCAUGGGGAGGGGUCUGCGUACCAUUAGCUAGUAGGCGGGGUAAUGGCCCACCUAGGCGACGAUGGUUAGCGGGUCUGAGAGGAUGAUCCGCCACACUGGCACUGGAACACGGGCCAGACUCCUACGGGAGGCAG
rnacentral:rRNA from 1 species